UCUCACUCUCAACUUUUAUCUCUCACUGUUUUUCCGUCUUCUCCCAGAGAAACCCUAAUAUUGCCACCGCCCACCGCCAUAACAUCGCAGCAACAACAAAAGCCCCAAAUACCUUCUCUCUUUAAAGAACUCAAUGCCAUAAGCCACCAUCGCCUCCUACGAAUUGGCUCCUCCCACAUAACUUUCGCAGCUCAUAACCCACCACAACUUCUUGAUUUAAGGUCGUAUGGCCUGGAUCGGCGGUUUACUGGGCCAAAUCUGCAAAUUUCAGGGCAUCAAGUACACAUACGGCUCCGACCGGGUAGAAUCCGGACACACCCUGAAAGCCAACGUCGUUGCUGUGAAGCCCACACAUGUGUUCAACGCCGCUGGUCGACCGAACUGUCACACAAGGGUCUGUGUUCAAACAUCCAAAUCCUCUACAAAUUAAAGAAGUGGUGGACUAGGAAUAAUGCCAACAAAACUCGAGAUAAGAGCAAAACGGUGAAGAUGGGAGUGAGGAUUGUUACUCAGUCGACUGGUUAUACGCAUCCUUGGUGGCAUAGGAUUAAAGAUGGUGUUGUGUUGUCUUUUGGUUAAUCUAAUGGUGUUGGUGGUGAUACGGAUUCGUCUACAGCUCCACAGUCUGCUAAUUAAACACUACAAUGUGACGCCACUCUGAACCAUAAUUUGGUGGAGAAGAUAGGUUUUAUAAUCCGGCAAAAGCGAGAAGAAGCUGUCAAAAUCAAGAUGAACUCCGUGAGCACAAAGUGACGCCACUCCGAACCAUAAUUUGGAGCUAUGAUGCAAGUGACAUUGAAACUCCUAGAAAUGGUUUGUACGCGAUUGGUUUAUCAUGGCGAGUCACCAAGAGAGAUCUUGAGAAGCAUCUCUCUGCAGAAGGAAAGGUGGAAGACGUUCCCCUUGUCAUAGAUCCGUGGACACGGGAAUUUUGUGGGUUUGGGUUUGUAUACAUGUCGAGUAGCAAGGUAACUAGCUGAUAGUUGUAUCAAGUACUUAGAUGGAUCUGUUCUUGAUGGUCGUGUUUGAAAAACUCAAAGGAGGAAGUCAGGUACCUGCAUUACUGUGAUAUUUUUUUAACACUGGUUAGCGAAUAAUUCUUAUGUACCUGAUCUGAUUAAUCGGUUGUGUCAAGAGGUUGCUUUUAGAUUUACAAUAAAGGGUUAAUUAGUUUAUAACCACAUGUGGAUAUUGUUUGUAC
rnacentral:lncRNA from 1 species